rnacentral:miRNA from 1 species
ACAAGUUCCUGCAAAUGCACAC